rnacentral:rRNA from 1 species
CACGUAAUUAGCCGGACCUUAUUCGUAUAGUACUGUCAUUUUCUUCCUAUACAAAAGAUUUUUACAAUCCGAAGACUUUCUAAAUCACGCGGCGUCGCUGCAUCAGGGUUUCCCCCCAUUGUGCAAAAUUCCCCACUGCUGCCUCCCGUAGGAGUUUGGGCCGUGUCUCAGUCCCAAUGUGGCCGUACACUCUCUCAAGCCGGCUACUGAUCGUUGCCUUGGUGAGCUUUUAUCUCACCAACUAGCUAAUCAGACGCAAGUCCAUCUUACACCGAUAAAUCUUUGGUAAAGCUACCAUGCGGUUUUCUUUACUUCAUAGGGUAUUAUUCGUCGUUUCCAACGGCUAUCCCCUUGUGCAAGGCAGGUUACUCACGUGUUACUCACCCGUCCGCCACUAAUCUACUUAGUCAUCAUCCCGAAGGAAUCUGUUAAAGCUUCAUCGUUCGACUUGCAUGUGUUAUGCACGCCGCCAGCGUUAAUCCUCGAGCCAGGAUCAACUC